ACAAUGAAGGGAGUGCAAGACCGCAGCCUGAUGAAGCUGACUGUAUUUUAUCUGGUGGUACUAUUCAUGAUGGCAUCGAUCACGAAACAGAUCAGAAUAUUAAUUUGAAGCGGAAAUCAAAUGACAUUAUAACCUUCAAGAUAGAAUGCAGUGCAUCAUGCAAGUCUACUUCAAAGGAAAACAAAUUAAGAGACAAACCUAUAACAUCUCCAUUCAGAAUGGCUGAAAAGAAUAUUUCACAUGUGCCAGAGGGAAUCUUUGAUGCAGUGAAAAAUCUUCAAUUGUCCCGCUCCGAAAUUCUGAAGUAAGUAAUGCAGGCCAAUUAAUUUAUGCUAUGAUAUUUUGUAUAAUAAACUGGUUAUAUGUGAUUUAUGGUACAUGUGUAAUGCAUCAAACUAGAAAUAACCAAAAACAAUCCAAAUUACCUCAAAACUAUAUCAUAGAGCAUACAUUUUCACUUACAAUAAAAUUGGAUCUUGGUGAUUUUUACUUAACAUUAACAAAAUGUCCUUUGUAUGAUUGUAUCAGAUGGAUUACUGUUCAUGGCUCAAUCUCGCAACUUAAUGGUUUUUUCUUGCGUCUGCGGCUUGGAAAAUGG
rnacentral:lncRNA from 1 species